rnacentral:rRNA from 1 species
UAAGGAAUAUUGGUCAAUAGACGCAAGUCUGAACCAGCCAUGCCGCGUGCAGGAUGAAGGCCUUUUGGUUGUAAACUGCUUUUAUGUGAGAAAAAUAAAUCCCUGCGGGGACCAAUGAUGGUAUCACAUGAAUAAGCACCGGCUAACUCCGUGCCAGCAGCCGCGGUAAGACGGGGGGUGCUAGCGUUAUCCGGAUUUACUGGGUUUAAAGGGUACGUAGGCGGCAUUAUAAGUCAGUGAUGAAAGCCAAUAGCUCAACUAUUGAAGUGUCAUUGAUACUGUACUGCUUGAGUCUAGUCGAGGUGAGUGGAAUUCUACAUGUAGCGGUGAAAUGCAUAGAUAUGUAGAGGAACUCCAAUAACGAAGGUAGCUCACUAGGCUAUGACUGACGCUAAAGUACGAAAGCGUGGGGAGCAAACAGGAUUAGAUACCCCCGUAGUCC